rnacentral:rRNA from 1 species
AGAGUUUGAUCAUGGCUCAGAUUGAACGCUGGCGGCAUGCCUUACACAUGCAAGUCGAACGGUAACGCGGGGCAACCUGGCGACGAGUGGCGAACGGGUGAAUAAUGUAUCGGAACGUGCCCAGUAGUGGGGGAUAGCCCGGCGAAAGCCGGAUUAAUACCGCAUACGACCUACGGGUGAAAGGGGGGGAUCGCAAGACCUCUCGCUAUUGGAGCGGCCGAUAUCAGAUUAGGUAGUUGGUGGGGUAAAGGCCUACCAAGCCGACGAUCUGUAGCUGGUCUGAGAGGACGACCAGCCACACUGGGACUGAGACACGGCCCAGACUCCUACGGGAGGCAGCAGUGGGGAAUUUUGGACAAUGGGCGCAAGCCUGAUCCAGCCAUGCCGCGUGCGGGAAGAAGGCCUUCGGGUUGUAAACCGCUUUUGUCAGGGAAGAAAUCCUUUGGACUAAUACCCCGGAGGGAUGACGGUACCUGAAGAAUAAGCACCGACUAACUACGUGCCAGCAGCCGCGGUAAUACGUAGGGUGCAAGCGUUAAUCGGAAUUACUGGGCGUAAAGCGUGCGCAGGCGGUUGUGUAAGACAGAUGUGAAAUCCCCGGGCUCAACCUGGGAACUGCAUUUGUGACUGCACGGCUGGAGUGCGGCAGAGGGGGAUGGAAUUCCGCGUAGCAGUGAAAUGCGUAGAUAUGCGGAGGAACACCGAUGGCGAAGGCAAUCCCCUGGGCCUGCACUGACGCUCAUGCACGAAAGCGUGGGGAGCAAACAGGAUUAGAUACCCUAGUAGUCC